ensembl:lncRNA
UGGACAUUCAGAACAAUCUCUGUCCUGAAAAACUUUCUUAUUAUUUAACAUGGACUUCUUUAUUAAGUCGAGGUGCAGCAGUCAUCUAUCCCAAAUGCUACUACAGAUUUCUGGAGAGGAGGCAACCACAGACCCUGCAGCACUGUGAACUCGGGUACGAAAGGAAGCAUGAAUUUGUGAAUCUUUGUAAUACUCAUUACAGUAGUUGAGUACCCUGCAUCAGCAGAUCACUGUGAUGGUAAUAAAUCACUGAAACAGAAUGUGGUUCCUCUAAUUGCUUUCACUUUUUGUGUUGAAUGGACACCUUUCAUCAGCAAUAGCCUGAGCAAAGAUAUUCCUGCCCUGCAAAAUGAGUCUGCGGAGAGAUGUACGUGUUUGCAGUUUUUCGUUCAGUCACAAAGUAAGGAUUAUCUGCUAAUUUGGGCAAAAAGUUUCUCAG